UCCACUGCCUUGGCAACCUUCACGAUGC
rnacentral:piRNA from 1 species